UACGUAGGGUGCAAGCGUUGUCCGGAAUCAUUGGGCGUAAAGCGCGUGUAGGCGGCUUGUUAAGUCCGCUCUGAAAGCCCGGGGCUCAACCCCGGGAGGCGGGUGGAUACUGGCAAGCUCGAGUCCGGAAGAGGCGAGUGGAAUUCCAGGUGUAGCGGUGAAAUGCGUAGAUAUCUGGAGGAACACCGGUGGCGAAGGCGGCAUCCUGGACCGGUAUUGACGCUGAGGCGCGAAAGCUAGGGGAGCAAACGGG
rnacentral:rRNA from 1 species